UGUUAUGAUUUUGUCUUGCUUAUCUUUCAAUGCCGAAAUAUUUUUUUUUGUUUGUCUUGAUUUUUCUAAACCUUAAAAGAAUUUUGUUUUUUUUUUCCCCAUUCUUCUAACCAUUUGACUCUGGAUCUUACUUGUGCACCUUUAACUUCAUUUUUAUAAAGAUUUCCUAGAUUUUUUUCAAUUUUUUCUAUUUCAUCUUUAGUUUCUUUUGAAGGAUUAAUUUUAUUAUUUAAUCUUUGUAAGUUCAUUUCUAAAUCUUUUAUUUUAUUUUUCUUUUCAGAUGACUUGUAUUUACAAUACAUUACAGUUAUGUCCCUUACUUCAGAUUUGAAGAUAUCCCAAAUCUCUCUAGAAUCUCUGGUAUUUUAGAGUGGCAAUCACCAUGGAUGUGGAAGUAGCUUGUACAAAAAAUACACGAACUAUAUAGAAGGAACUAAUUUUCAGUUUUUGGGUACCUAAGGCAAUAGUGGUGUUUUUAAUAUGCCAAUCUUUAAAAUUGAUACUAAUUGUGUCCAGGUGAACUUAGUGAGAUAAUGUACAUGUAUAUGGCCGAUCUUGUUCAGUUUUAAAGUUAUUCCUGGUACAUGUAUGUGAGGAAUUGAGACAUUUAUUAACACGGAUUUUAUAUUUCAAGGAAGUGAUUUCAUCAACUUAGUGAUGUGGAACGCAGCUACAGUUAAUCAAUUUACCAAUCAUACUGGAACCCUUCAGAUUGGGAUUUACACGUGUUUUGAAUUGAUUCUUGGUUACUAAAAAGAUGAUAAUAACUUUCAAUGGAUCAACUAUUUGAUCAUGUUCAUUUGUUUUCAUGAUAAUCAUAUUAAAAUAUUUCAUAUCAACAUUUAA